rnacentral:rRNA from 1 species
AUGAAUUGGAUGCAUCAACAGCAAGCCUCAGCAGACAUACCCCGGGAAAAACAGAGGAUUCCUUCAAACAGGCAAUGCUGGCGCGAAUUCGCGAUACAUCCUGUACGGGCUGUGGCAUGGGACACCUAUCCUUGUGAUCAUCAGCAUCCUCGCAUAUUUUUGCUUCUUGGAGCAAUUGCUGUGUUGAGGAGAUACUUGUGGAUAUACGCGGCGAUCCAGCUCCUCUUUGUUGUGUUCUUCACUCAUUUGUUCUACAGACAUCUGCAUCUGCAGGCGACACUGACAGUCGAGGAAGGCAUGCCCACAGAUAGGUUCAGAACAUUUGUCAACUCCUUUGGUAAAAGGAAAGAAUCGGAAUGGCCACGUGUGGUGCCCAAGAAGCUGUUUGUGUUCCUCUUCCUCGUAUGGAGUCAGGUCAGGCUGUGGCAUGCGACACCUAUCCUUGUGAUCUACGUGUGGAUAUACGCGGCGAUCCAGUUCCUCUUUGUUGUGUUCUUCACUCAUUUGUUCUACAGAUAUGCAAGCAAACCAGAGCAUACUCUGCUCACACCGCCUGAACUGCAACUGCUGGCUGUGAUAACCUUCGUGGGUUUCGGCGUGGGGAUGAUCGACAACUCCAUCAUCAUCGAAGUGCUCAGGUGGAGGACAAUGGCCCCGGCUCAGCCCCACCGCACUCGCAGGCCACCACGUGUCUCACAGCAGCAGAAGACGGCUCCGGCAGCCAGCCCAUGUUCUGGAUGCAAAAUCUUUCUGAGUUUUCUGUUGCAGCAUGUUGUGAGGAACCACGUACAAUGCUAUAUAGCAGCUCCUGAAAGAGGAUUCGGUAGCAUGUGUCAUGGUGUACAAACUAUGUCAGGCAUAUAUGGCUAUGCUCUGCUCUUGUCCAGGGCAGGGAGUAUGUAA